ACAACUUUCUAUUGGUUAGGGGGUGAACCCAAGAAUAACUCGAAAAAAAAACUAAACAUGUUUGGUUGCAUUAGUCGACUUUAAAUCGAUAUACAUGAAAUAGGAAAGAGAUCUCCUUAGGGACGAGAAUCUAGCCAGCCUUGAGCAUUUGCAAGUGUAUGUGCUCUUAGACAAGCUUAAUACACUACAUGGAAGCAUACGUUUGAUUUCCGACCGAUGGAUCUAUCCAAAUUGUCCAUCAACCACGUUUACGACCCAUUUCUCCACCAAAACCAACACCAACGGAACAUCUUGAACAGAGCUCAAUGGUUGCAAACUUUGUAACACAUAAUGCCUUUGGAGUUGGUUAUAAACUUUAGUCAUUUGAAUGUUGGGCUUCUGAUAAAUGGGCUUAACCCAUGUUUCUAAAUAUUUGUGCCCACUAUAUUUCGGGCCGUAGUGUCUGUGUCUCUCCCUGUUGGCGGCGACCCACGCUCUAGAUUUAGCUAGGGUUUCUAAACUAUACCCUAGGGAAGCCUCCUAUAUAUAAUACACAUACACACGAUUGCAUAGUCCUCCGCAGAGUUUAGGUUAAGGGCUUAGGUUGCUGGUGAAUUAUUAUAGUAGCACGUUAUCUCUGUUCUUCUUUGUCUAUCGUUUGGAAAAGAUUGAUGACGCCAUCUACACUUUUCCAAAUGUAGACAAAGCAAAACCGUGAUGACGUCGUAGAGAUCUUGUUGAUGAUCAGGAUUUUCUGACCAAGAUUUCUACUGAGAGAAGCAAAAGUACAACUACGAAGUACUGUUCUGUCCGGCUCGAACAUGACCGACCGAACUUUUCUAUAUUCUAUUGUUACAGCAAAUAAUUCUCAUAAUACUUAUUAUCUUUCAAAGACCAACAAAUUGUUCUCUUUAUCUUUUGUACUAUAAUGAAGAAUUAUUCUGAGAGUAA